CCUAUCAAAGAAGUAUUAAACAUACAUAUUUUACAAGAAACAAAAACGUAGAAUCGUUCAUUAAAUCAAACCGCGGCGAACGCAAUUGCAAAUAUUUCGAAAAUUUAAACUUGCACGAUUGGUCUGAUUGACGAAUCUGUGUAAAUAGUAAUUAUGAUAAUCUUCAAAUAUAGAUGCUGUUAAAUUAACAAUCGACUAUCGUCGACGAAUGAAAAAAAAGUUCGAUCGUCAAUAAUUUUGUGCAUUCCGAAAUUGCAGUUUAAUUGGUCGCUUGAAUAGAUACGUCAACGCAAGAAAAUAGUUUCAACUCGACGAAGCACCAACGGGGAAGCGAAACAAGAUAUCUCCAUUUUCGCCGAAAAUAACGAAAGUGAAUCAUCCGGUGUGUCGAUCGAAAGAUUCUUUCGGAUUGGUGUUAAACGCACGGCAUGCAGCUCAUAGAGAAGGACCGAGAGAGAGCAGCUGUCAGCUGUGCAUGAUGACAUCACACAGAUGCAGUUGUCCUCGCCGCCGGACGGGAAUUUCACGAUGAAUUUCGAGCCAGCUUUUUCCUCAGAGUCGUUCAAAGGUCGAAAUCUACAGACUACCUUAAUACUGUCCUCCGCGGCAAUCUCACGCUCCCUCGGCGUCUCCAUUGCCAUAUUUCGGGUGCAUAGGCAACGAGAUGGUCGCGUGAACCGCAUCAAGAACCACUACCGUCUUCUCUGUCACAAACCACAGCUCGUUUCGGAGCCAGUAAAGAUGGCUGCCGUUGUCCGACGAUUUUGCGGGUGGGUUGAUUUGCGUG